rnacentral:lncRNA from 1 species
GAGAAGAUUGGCCAUCGAACCUUCGAGGAGGUGGCCACACGGAGGUUCCGAGAUGACCUCUACAGCCUCAGGCAGUCUAUCAUCCAGCACACCGAUUCUCAAUCACCAUUGGACUGGAGGUCCUUCACGAAUCAUCGAAUAUGGGCGGACAUAUGGUAGGUCCUCUGUGAUCAGUGGAGCAACGAAGAGUACUCCAAUAGGCGGUAGAGGACCCGACAGAAUUGAGCCAUCCAAC